rnacentral:misc_RNA from 1 species
AUGAAGAACGCAGCGAAAUGCGAUAAGUAAUGUGAAUUGCAGAAUUCAGUGAAUCAUCGAAUCUUUGAACGCACCUUGCGCCCUUUGGCUAUUCCGAAGGGCAUGCCUGUUUGAGUAUCAUGAACACCUCAACUCUCAUGGCUUGCCAUGAUGAGCUUGGACUUUUGGGGGUCUUGCUGGCCUGUGGUCAGCUCCUCUCAAAUGAAUUAGCCUGCCAGUGUUUGGUGGCAUCACAGGUGUGAUAACUAUCUCGCUUGUGGUUUUCCACCAGGUAACCUUCAGUGAUGAAGGUUCGCUGGGGCUCAUAAACGUCUCUCCUCAGUGAGGACAGCUCUUUGAACGUUUGAUCUCAAAUCAGGUAGGACUACCCGCUGAACUUAAGCAUAUCAAUAAGCGGAGGA